rnacentral:rRNA from 1 species
AUUAAACGCUGGCGGUAUGCUUUACACAUGCAAGUCGAACGGCAACAUAAAUUUAUUUUUAAAUUUGAUGGCAAGUGGCGAACGGGUGAGUAAUAUAUUGAAAUAUACCUUAGAGUGGGGAAUAACUAAUUGAAAAAUUAGCUAAUACCGCAUAAUAAUCUUUAUUUGAUGAAAGUAGGGGAUUUGAAAAAACCUUAUGCUCUUAGAAUAGUCAAUAUCUGAUUAGUUUGUUGGUGUAGUUAAAAGCUCACCAAGACUAUGAUCAGUAGCUGGUCUGAGAGGAUGAUCAGCCACACUGGAACUGAGACACGGUCCAGACUCCUAUGGGAGGCAGCAGUGGGGAAUUUUGGACAAUGGGGGAAACCCUGAUCCAGCAAUACCGCGUGAGCGAAGAAGGCCUUAGGGUUGUAAAGCUCUUUUAUCAGGAAAGAAAAAAAUUUUAAAUAAUACUUAAAAUUUAUGACGGUACCUGAAGAAUAAGCACCGGCUAAUUACGUGCCAGCAGCCGCGGUAACACGUAGGGUGCUAGCGUUAAUCGGAAUUAUUGGGCGUAAAGAGUGCGCAGGUGGUUAUAUAAGAUAAAUAAGAAAUUCUUGAGCUUAACUCAAGCGCUUUAUUUAUUACUAUAUAUCUAGAGUUUGUUAGGGAGGGAUAGAAUUUUACAUGUAGCAGUGAAAUGCCCAGAUAUGUAAAAGAAUACUAAUAGCGAAGGCAUUCCCUUGGCGCAAUACUGACACUCAUGCACUAAAGCGUGGGUAGCAAACAGGAUUAGAUACCCUGGUAGUCCACGCCCUAAACUAUGUCUACUAAUUAUUAGAAAUAUAAAAAAUUUAGUAAUACAGCUAACGCAUUAAGUAGACCGCCUGGGGAGUACGAUCGCAAGAUUAAAACUCAAAGGAAUUGACGGGGACCCGCACAAGCGGUGGAUGAUGUGGAUUAAUUCGAUGCUACACGAAAAACCUUACCUACUCUUGACAUGUUUGUUAUCUUGAAGAAAUUUGAGAGUGCUUUUUUUUUAAUUUUAAGAAAAAAGAGUCAAAGCACAGGUGCUGCAUGGCUGUCGUCAGCUCGUGUCGUGAGAUGUUGGGUUAAGUCCUGUAACGAGCGCAACCCCUAUUAUUAGUUGCUAAAUUUUAUAAUUGCACUCUAAUAAAACUGCCAAUGAUACAAAAUUGGAGGAAGGUGGGGACGACGUCAAGUCAUCAUGGCCUUUAUGAGUAGGGCUUCACACGUCAUACAAUGGUACAUACAAAGGGUUUGCGGGAUCGCGAGAUUAUUUAGCUAAUCCCAUAAAAUGUAUCUCAGUCCAGAUUAUAGUCUGCAACUCGACUAUAUGAAGCAGGAAUCGCUAGUAAUCGCGUAUCAGCAUGUCGCGGUGAAUACGUUCUCGGGUCUUGUACACACCGCCCGUCACACCAUGGGAAUGGGUUUUGUCAGAAGUGAUUAGCUUAACUGUAAAAAGAGGGCGAUUACCAAGGCAGGGUUCGUGACUG